GACGAACGCUGGCGGCGUGCCUAAUACAUGCAAGUAGAACGCUGACUACUUUAGCUUGCUAGAGUAGAAGGAGUUGCGAACGGGUGAGUAACGCGUAGGUAACCUGCCUCAUACAGGGGGAUAACAGUUAGAAAUGACUGCUAAUACCGCAUAAGCACACAGUACCGCAUGGUACGGUGUGAAAAACUCCGGUGGUAUGAGAUGGACCCGCGUCUGAUUAGCUAGUUGGCGGGGUAACGGCCCACCAAGGCGACGAUCAGUAGCCGACCUGAGAGGGUGACCGGCCACAUUGGGACUGAGACACGGCCCAA
rnacentral:rRNA from 1 species